UACGAAGGGGGCUAGCGUUGCUCGGAAUCACUGGGCGUAAAGCGCACGUAGGCGGCUUACUAAGUCAGGGGUGAAAUCCUGGAGCUCAACUCCAGAACUGCCUUUGAUACUGGUGAGCUUGAGUCCGGAAGAGGUGAGUGGAACUGCGAGUGUAGAGGUGAAAUUCGUAGAUAUUCGCAAGAACACCAGUGGCGAAGGCGGACUCACUGGUCCGGUACUGACGCUGAGGUGCGAAAGCGUGGGGAGCAAACAGGG
rnacentral:rRNA from 1 species